GUACGGGAGGCAGCAGUGGGGAAUAUUGCGCAAUGGGGGGAACCCUGACGCAGCAACGCCGCGUGAGUGAAGAAGGCCUUCGGGUCGUAAAACUCUGUCAUUGGGGAAGAAAGAAAUGACGGUACCCGAUGAGGAAGCCCCGGCUAACUACGUGCCAGCAGCCGCGGUAAUACGUAGGGGGCGAGCGUUGUCCGGAAUUACUGGGCGUAAAGGGUGCGUAGGCGGCCGAUUAAGUCAGAUGUGAAAUACCACGGCUCAACUGUGGGGGUGCAUAUGAAACUGGUUGGCUUGAGUGCAGGAGAGGAAAGUGGAAUUCCUAGUGUAGCGGUGAAAUGCGUAGAGAUUAGGAGGAACACCAGUGGCGAAGGCGACUUUCUGGACUGUAACUGACGCUGAGGCACGAAAGCGUGGGGAGCAAACAGGAUUAGAUACCCCGGUAGUCCA
rnacentral:rRNA from 1 species